GUCCCAAGCAUGACAUAAAACUGCUUACUGAGAUUGUCUGCGCCGUCUGAUCAGCGGUGGCGCAACAGACAGUUUCAGUCGAAAUUUAAUAUGUACGGCUGCCUUAUGCGCUGGCGGCCGCAAUCCGAAUGGAGAAAUCCAUCUGGAUCGCGGUCAGGGUUUUUGCGCCCAUUUUGCAGCCGGUCG
rnacentral:ncRNA from 1 species